rnacentral:misc_RNA from 1 species
CAAGCUUACAAGUUUGGCAGAUGCUGGGAAGAUACCACCACUUGAAAUUCUUCCUCCAGGGAUGCCAUCUCUUUCUGCUUUAGCUACUAGUCAGAAAAAACCUGGUCCUGGUACACAAAGUUCACAGCAGCAAGCUAGCAAGCCAUUACAAUUAGAGGCACCACCUGCUGUUAUUUCUGAACCAGCAACUGCAUCAAUUACUGCCACAACUACUGCUACAGCACCAGAAAAUGCACCUUCUAGUUCUAUGGCAGAUGUAGAAAUUGCUCCACCCCAAUCAGAAGCAGGUGAACCCCAUGGUUCUGUUGAUGAUAAAGCCCCUAUCCCAUCCUCAGGCAGUAAUCCUGAUCUGGUUACUUCAGGAGAAAACGCUGCACCAACAUCUACGGGUAACACAGAAUCAACUGAGGUAACACCUCAAAAACUAGAUAGCCAGGGUUCACACAUCACAGGUACCGUGCCUUUGAGUGAUGCCUUUGCUUGAAUAUCAAGUUUGAGACUCGUUAGAGGAAAGAGCAUGUUGGAAAUUCUUCGAUGAUUCUUUCAUCUCUAUAUGAAUUUUGAGCGUGGACCAUUACCGUGUCUACAAUGCUAAAAGAAUAGAAUUUGGACCAAGAGAUUAGUUUCAUUGUAAGUUGAAUCCUUAUCUGUAUAUUUUGUUGGUGUUGAGAUCUUGUAUGCUUAUGUGAUUUUUCUGAGAACUACUUCAUGGCAUUGAACGUUGCACUUAGUGUUCUUUUUCUGUAACUAUGCCAAAGACAAAAUAUAGCCUUGAUCUGCCAGUGUUAAGGUUUACAGUGUUGUACUAACGAAUUUUACCACGUUUUUUUAGUUUUACACAGCAGCUUAGAAUUUAUAAACAGGUUGAGUUGUAAGGUGUCUGAUUUGUUUACGAUCCAGAUAAUGAAAAUUCUUUUACUCUCUUUUAGCUGGGAA